rnacentral:rRNA from 1 species
AUACGGAGGGUGCAAGCGUUACUCGGAAUCACUGGGCGUAAAGCGCGCGCAGGCGGUCUUUUAAGUUGGAUGUGAAAGCCUACGGCUCAACCUUAGAACUGCAUCCAAAACUAUUAGACUAGAGUGUGGGAGAGGAAGAUGGAAUUAGUUGUGUAGGGGUAAAAUCCGUAGAGAUAACUAGGAAUACCAAAAGCGAAGGCAAUCUUCUGGAACACUACUGACGCUGAGGCGCGAAAGCGUCGGGAGCAAACAGGAUUAGAAACCCUGGUAGUCC